GUGUUUCGAGUUACUCCGGAACACCCGGGAUUUUUCGUAUUUAGCCACGCCGGUCACGUGAUAUGAGCAAAAUGUUCCACAGGGGUACUUCCGGUUAAUUUUGUUUACACUGGUAACAAAAUUGUUUUUGACAAAAUAUAGAUUUUGCGGCACAAACUGUCGCAAAUCAGAUAAAGGAUAGCAAGGGAUAUAUAUUUACUUGGGAAGAUGUCAAAGUUUACCUUUUCCCAAACCCGGGAAAAGCGUUCACGCAGAGGAAACGAUGGCGUCAUUUGUGUAGAAAACCACGAGCAGCCGAAAUUGAGUGCGAUUAUUACAUUCCGUGAAAGCUGAACCAACAAAGAAACAUCAUUGUUCUAGCCAGUUUGCUUAUAUUAACUUUUAGGAAAACCAAGAGGUUGAUAACAAUGGCUGAUCUGCAUAUAAUGACUGCUAGUUAUUGGCUGGUAUGCAGUGAAAGGGAGCUAAAAAGGAGUAAAAAGUUCAUAUCAGCCAGGUGAGAAUUAAUUUCUUCUUUUUUGUGUGUUAUACAUAUGUAAUUCUUUUCUUUUGCUGCUUCAAAUCUUGUGUAUUUGAAAAUUUUCAGUCUAAUAUUUGGCAAUGUUAUAGGUAGUGUGGUUUAAAUAAACCAGUGUUAAGGAAUAUCCAGUAAUGGCAUGACAUCAUGAGAGUUUGGCAUACCGACAUUCAGAUGAUUAAUGAUGAAACUGAAGACCUCAAGUGAAAGGCAUGGAAAAUUAUCCUGUUCCCAUUAACCUGGAAAAGAGGAGGGAUGCCACAAUAUUGAUAAUAGACUUUUGUCAAUUUGAGAAGCAAAGAUGUAAAAAAAAAAAUAAAAAAAAAAAAUAAAUAAAUAAAUAAAUAAAUAAUGCUGAAAUUAUAAUUCAUGUAUUUGUUAAAAAUACUGUUCACUGUACAUACAUGUAUAUUUUUUUUAACUUAUUUGGAAAUACAUGAAGUAAUUCAUAUUAAAACUGAAUGUAUGAGUUUUCAUGAUUUUUAUCAAUAAAGCUUACCAUAUUUAUUGUACAAAUAUCUGAUUUCCCCUAUACAUUGUAGUCAUAUGAGAGCUUGCUUGCAUUCAGAGAUAUGACAUCAUGUAUAAAGCCGAGUUAAACAACUUCAAAAUCUACCCAACAUGUUUUAAAUGAACACAAAAGAUUCUUCCUAAUUUCUUCUCUCUUUUUUUCAAUUUUGUUCAUAAAUUUAUAUUUAAGUCAAUUCACCUUUUUCAAACUUUUGAUGCAUAUGACGGAUUUCCUCUGUAUUGCUAUAUCUAUCAGGCCCAGCACAAUCUCUAUAUUUAACUAUAUAGUUUUAUAAAGCUAUUUCAAACAGCUUCAUUAAGCUAGUUUCGAUUAAAUUUCUUAAGUGCAAUGACACAUAACAAUAUACAUGUACUUUGAACUAACCACAACACUAUUCUAUGUAUAGAUCAUAUGUCAUUUUAAGAAUUUUCAUGAAAAGAGAAUUUCUUUUGUAUUGAUAACUGUCCACUGCCUUAUGUGUGUCGAAGCUUUGAUAAGUAUAUGAUGACUUUACAAUGUGGAAUCUGUAACAACUUAAUAAUCCUAAACAUUUGACAAUUUUGAAUCAAAAUUCUUCCUAAGGUACAUAGUUUAAGAAGCUUUUUUUGUUUACAGUGUGUUGUUUCAAGUACAAGGAUGAAAUAUUUUCACUUAGAAAUUAAAUUUUUAUGCUUUAAAAAUAUAUUUGAUAGAAGAUUUGAAAUAGUUAUAUCAAGCAAUUUCAAUUAGCUUUAAAAAGCUAUAUAGCUUGAUUAGCAUAUUUAUAUAGCUAAUUAUACUAGAGAUUGUGCUGGACCAGUCUAUGAGCACAUAUUGAAAUUAUGUUGCUGAAAGGAAUUAUAAUAUUACCUUAAUCAUGAUCAGAUAUAUAUUUUGUUCAGUGAUAUAAAUAUGAGCAGUAAUCACAAAUACCUACUGGAUUGUGAAAAGUCAAUAAAAUGACUACAACAAUAAAUAGUCAUGCUAAAAAUUCUUCCAAUUACAUAAGUAUAUCAUUAGAAGUCAAACUCCAAAGACUUAAUUUGUAGCACAAGUAUUAGUUGAGAAAUAAUUAUUUUCAAAUUCAAUCUAAUUAAAAUUAGAUCUUUGAUCCGCUCAUGCAAUCGCUACACAAAGGACUAUACACCAGUUUCAUAACAAGUGCAGUCUUUUCUUAGAGAUCAGCUGAGCAUAGUGAAGAUUCAAGUAAAUUAAAAGUCAAAUCAAUCUAAUUAAAAUUAGAUCUUUGAUCCGCUCAUGCAAU